GGGGAAUUUUCCGCAAUGGGCGAAAGCCUGACGGGGCAAUACCGCGUGAGGGAUGACGGCCUAUGGGUUGUAAACCUCUUUUUUCAGGGAGGAAAAAAAUGACGUUACCUGAAGAAUAAGCAUCGGCUAACUCCGUGCCAGCAGCCGCGGUAAGACGGAGGAUGCAAGUGUUAUCCGGAAUCACUGGGCGUAAAGCGUCUGUAGGUGGUUUAAUAAGUCAACUGUUAAAUCUUGAGGCUCAACCUCAAAACCGCAGUCGAAACUAUUAGACUAGAGUAUAGUAGGGGUAAAGGGAAUUUCCAGUGGGGCGGUGAAAUGCGUAGAUAUUGGAAAGAACACCGAUGGCGAAGGCACUUUACUGGGCUAUUACUAACACUCAGAGACGAAAGCUAGGGUAGCAAAUGGGAUUAGAUACCCCAGUAGUC
rnacentral:rRNA from 1 species